rnacentral:rRNA from 1 species
UAGAGUUUGAUCCUGGCUCAGGACGAACGCUGGCGGCGUGCUUAACACAUGCAGGUCGAACGGUGAACCACUUCGGUGGGGAUCAGUGGCGAACGGGUGAGUAACACGUGAGUAAUCUGCCUCUGACUCUGGGAUAACCACGGGAAACGGUGGCUAAUACCGGAUAUGACGUACGGUCGCAUGGUCUGUGCGUGGAAAGUUUUUCGGUCAGAGAUGAGCUCGCGGCCUAUCAGCUUGUUGGUGGGGUAAUGGCCUACCAAGGCGACGACGGGUAGCCGGCCUGAGAGGGCGACCGGCCACACUGGGACUGAGACACGGCCCAGACUCUACGGGAGGCAGCAGUGGGGAAUAUUGCGCAAUGGGCGAAAGCCUGACGCAGCGACGCCGCGUGAGGGAUGAAGGCUUCGGGUCGUAAACCUCUUUCAGCAGGGAAGAAGCGCAAGUGACGGUACCUGCAGAAGAAGCACCGGCUAACUACGUGCCAGCAGCCGCGGUAAUACGUAGGGUGCAAGCGUUGUCCGGAAUUAUUGGGCGUAAAGAGCUCGUAGGCGGUCUGUCGCGUCUGCUGUGAAAACCUAGGGCUUAACCCUGGGCGUGCAGUGGGUACGGGCAGACUAGAGUGCAGUAGGGGAGACUGGAAUUCCUGGUGUAGCGGUGAAAUGCGCAGAUAUCAGGAGGAACACCGGUGGCGAAGGCGGGUCUCUGGGCUGUAACUGACGCUGAGGAGCGAAAGCAUGGGGAGCGAACAGGAUUAGAUACCCUGGUAGUCCAUGCCGUAAACGUUGGGCGCUAGGUGUGGGGCACAUUCCACGUGUUCUGUACCGCANUAACGCAUUAAGCGCCCCGCCUGGGGAGUACGGCCGCAAGGCUAAAACUCAAAGGAAUCGACGGGGGCCCGCACAAGCGGCGGAGCAUGCGGAUUAAUUCGAUGCAACGCGAAGAACCUUACCAAGGCUUGACAUGGGGUGAAAACUCGUGGAGACACGGGGUCCGCAAGGGCGCCUCACAGGUGGUGCCAACGAGCGCAACCCUCGUUCUAUGUUGCCAGCACGUCAUGGUGGGAACUCAUAGGAGACUGCCGGGGUCAACUCGGAGGAAGGUGGGGAUGACGUCAAAUCAUCAUGCCCCUUAUGUCUUGGGCUUCACGCGUGCUACAAUGGCCAGUACAAAGGGCUGCGAGACCGUAAGGUGGAGCGAAUCCCAAAAAGCUGGUCUCAGUUCGGAUCGGGGUCUGCAACUCGACCCCGUGAAGUUGGAGUCGCUAGUAAUCGCAGAUCAGCAUUGCUGCGGUGAAUACGUUCCCGGGCCUUGUACACACCGCCCGUCACGUCAUGAAAGUCGGUAACACCCGAAGCCGGUGGCCUAACCCCUUGUGGGAGGGAGCUGUCGAAGGUGGGACUGGCGAUUAGGACGAAGUCGUAACAAGGUAACC